GACAGAGGUCCCGAGCGUUAGGCGGAAUCACUGGGCUUAAAGCGUGUGUAGGCGGAUUUGUAAGUACCUUGUGAAAUCCCACAGCUUAACUGUGGAACUGCUUGGUAUACUGCUUAUCUUGGGCCACUUAGAGGUUACCGGAACAAACGGUGGAGCGGUGAAAUGCGUAGAUAUCGUUUGGAACGCCAAUGGUGAAAACAGGUUGCUGGGGUUGUGCCGACGCUGAGACACGAAAGCCAGGGGAGCAAACGGG
rnacentral:rRNA from 1 species